rnacentral:rRNA from 1 species
GUGUCAGCAGCCGCGGUAAGACGUAGGGUGCAAGCGUUGUCCGGAUUUACUGGGCGUAAAGAGCGCGUAGGCGGUCUGUUAAGUGUAGAGUGAAAUCUCCAGGGCUCAACCCGGAAACUGCUCUGCAUACUGGCAGACUUGAGGGACUGAGAGGUGAAUGGAAUUCCUGGUGUAGCGGUGAAAUGCGUAGAUAUCAGGAGGAACACCCAUGGCGAAGGCAGUUCACUGGCAGUCUCCUGACGCUGAGGCGCGAAAGCGUGGGUAGCAAACAGGAUUAGAUACCCUGGUAGUCCACGCCCUAAACGAUGGAUACUAGGCGUAAGAGGUAUCGACCCCUCUUGUGCCGCAGCUAACGCACUAAGUAUCCCGCCUGGGGAGUACGGCCGCAAGGUUGAA